UACAGAGGUCCCAAGCGUUACUGAGAAUCACUGGGGUUAAAGGGUGCGUAGGUGGUCCGUUAAGUCAGUUGUGAAAUCCCCGGGCUCAACUCGGGAACUGCUUCUGAUACUGGCGGACUUGAGGCCAGUAGGGGUCACUAGAACUGACGGUGGAGCGGUGAAAUGCGUAGAUAUCGUCAGGAAUGCCGGUGGUGAAGACGGGUGACUGGGCUGGUUCUGACGCUGAGACACGAAAGCCAGGGGAGCAAACGGG
rnacentral:rRNA from 1 species